rnacentral:rRNA from 1 species
GAUGAACGCUAGCGGCAGGCCUAAUACAUGCAAGUCGAGGGGCAGCGCGGUAGCAAUACUGGCGGCGACCGGCGCACGGGUGCGUAACACGUAUGCAACCUACUUCAACUGGAGGAUAGCCCGGAGAAACUCGGAUUAAUACUCCAUAACACAGGGAUCCCGCAUGGGAAUAUUGUUAAAGCUACGGCGGUUGAAGAUGGGCAUGCGUUCGAUUAGCUAGUUGGUGUAGGUAACGGCUCACCAAGGCUACGAUCGAUAGGGGGUCUGAGAGGAUGAUCCCCCACACUGGUACUGAGAUACGGACCAGACUCCUACGGGAGCAGCAGUAGGGAAUAUUGGUCAAUGGGCGCAAGCCUGAACCAGCCAUGCCGCGUGCAGGAAGAAGGCCCUCUGGGUUGUAAACUGCUUUUGAUAGGGAACAAAUGCCACUUGCGAGUGGAGCUGAGUGUACCUAUAGAAUAAGCACCGGCUAACUCCGUGCCAGCAGCCGACGG